GCAAGUCGAACGAGAACGUACCUUCGGGUGCUAAUAUAGUGGCGCACGGGUGAGUAACGCGUGGGAAUCUACCUUUUAGUUUGGGAUAACAGUUGGAAACGACUGCUAAUACCAAAUACGCCCUCCGGGGGAAAGAUUUAUCGCUAAAAGAUGAGCCCGCGUUAGAUUAGUUUGUUGGUGAGGUAAUGGCUCACCAAGGCUACGAUCUAUAGCUGGUCUGAGAGGAUGAUC
rnacentral:rRNA from 1 species